GCGUACGGGUGCGGACACGUGUGCACCUGCCUUUAUCUGGGGAUAGCCUUUCGAAAGGAGAUUAUACCCCAUANUAUGUUGGAUGGCAUCAUUCGAACAUUGAAAACUCCGGUGGAUAGAGAUGGGCACGCGCAAGAUUAGAUAGUUGGUGAGGUAACGGCUCACCAAGUCUACGAUCUUUAGGGGGCCUUGAGAAGGUGAUCCCCCACACUGGUACUGAGACACGGACCAGACUCCUACGGGAGGCAGCAGUGAGGAAUAUUGGACAAUGGGUGAGAGCCUGAUCCAGCCAUCCCGCGUGAAGGACGACUGCCCUUAAUUGGGUUGUAAACUUCUUUUUGGGUAAUUAAGGGAUAAAACCUACCCUCGUGAGGGUAGCUGAAGGUACUAUACGAAUAAGCACCGGCUAAACUUUUCCCCCCCCCGGGGGGUUUUGGGGCCCAGCAGCCGCGGUAAUACGGAGGGUGCAAGCGUUAUCCGGAUUUAUUGGGUUUAAAGGGUCCGUAGCGGAUCUGUAAGUCAGUGGUGAAAUUUCCCUUUUUUUCCCCAAAACAAAAAGGGGCUUUAAACUUGUGAAACUGCCAUUGAUAACUGCAGGUC
rnacentral:rRNA from 1 species